CCUACGGGUGGCAGCAGUGAGGAAUAUUGGUCAAUGGCCGUAAGCCUGAACCAGCCAAGUCGCGUGAAGGAAGAAGUAUCUAUGGUUUGUAAACUUCUUUUAUAGGGGAAUAAAGGUCUCUACGUGUGCAUAUUUGCAUGUCCCCUAUGAAUAAGCAUCCGCUAACUCCGUGCCAGCAGCCGCGGUAAUACGGAGGAUGCGAGCGUUACCCGGAUUUAUUGGGUGUAAAGGGUGCGUAGGUUGUUUUGUAAGUCAGCGGUGAAAGUUUGUGGCUCAACCAUGAAAUUGCCGUUGAAACUGGAAGGCUGGAGUGUGGUUGAGGUAGGCGGAAUGCGUGGUGUAGCGGUGAAAUGCGUAGAUAUCAGGAAGAACUCCGAUUGCGAAGGCAGCUUACUAAGCCAUAACUGACACUGAAGCACGAAGGCGUGGGGAGCAAACAGGAUUAGAUACCCCAGUAGUC
rnacentral:rRNA from 1 species